rnacentral:sRNA from 1 species
GUCGGGCGCAGUGGCACAUGCCUGUCAUCCCAGCAGCUCGGGAGGCUGAGGCAGGAGGAUCACAGGUUCAAAGCCAGCCUCAGCAAUGGCAAGGCACUAAGCAACUCAGUGAGACCCUGUCUCUA